ACAGAAGGCAGCAGUGGGGAAUAUUGCACAAUGGGCGAAAGCCUGAUGCAGCGACGCCGCGUGAGCGAAGAAGUAUUUCGGUAUGUAAAGCUCUAUCAGCAGGGAAGAUAAUGACGGUACCUGACUAAGAAGCACCGGCUAAAUACGUGCCAGCAGCCGCGGUAAUACGUAUGGUGCAAGCGUUAUCCGGAUUUACUGGGUGUAAAGGGAGCGUAGGCGGUUUUACAAGUCUGAUGUGAAAGCCCGGGGCUCAACGCCGGUAUUGCAUUGGAAACUGUAGAACUAGAGUGUCGGAGGGGUAAGUGGAAUUCCUAGUGUAGCGGUGAAAUGCGUAGAUAUUAGGAGGAACACCAGUGGCGAAGGCGGCUUACUGGACGAUUACUGACGCUGAGGCUCGAAAGCGUGGGGAGCAAACAGGAUUAGAUACCCUGGUA
rnacentral:rRNA from 1 species